rnacentral:rRNA from 1 species
GACGUAGGGGGGCAAGCGUUGUCCGGAAUUAUUGGGCGUAAAGCGCUCGUAGGCGGAUCGGUAAGUCUGUGAAGAAAGACCCGGGCUCAACUCGGGGAACGGCAUAGAUACUGCUGAUCUUGAGACAGUCAGAGGAUGAUGGAAUUCCAGGUGUAGCGGUGAAAAUGCGUAGAUAUCUGGAGGAACACCAGUGGCGAAGGCGAUCAUCUGGGGCUGUUCUGACGCUGAGGAGCGAAAGCUAAGGGGAGCAAACGGGG